rnacentral:tRNA from 1 species
UGCAAGGUAGUUUAGUAAAAAAAAGAACGAUGGGUUGUGAUCCUAUAAGGGGUGAAGCCUCUUGCGC